rnacentral:lncRNA from 1 species
AAAAUCAUGCAAAUUAGGGAUUUUAACCUAAACAUACAUCUACUCAUUGACCCGAUCAUACUAACCCAUAAUAAUAAGGAUUCCCCCCUUACCUCUUCAAUUUUCUGGAAACCCUAGCUCCUCUCUUGUUCUUCCCCUUUUCUCCUCACUUUUCCUCUUCUCUUUCUCUAUUGCCUUCAAUGAUCAAAUGAAUCCUAAUUCUCACUUUCCUCGCCUCUUACUAUUUAUAUUAGUAUUCUAUUUGGGCUUAAG